GUUGGAGGGGCGUCAUCGCCUCCUAGCAACGCUCCUAGCAACCGGAUAACAUCUGCUCCCGCUGGUCCAAUGCGAGCGGAGCGCAGCUGCGAGCCCGCCUCGCGUUCCGAACCAGAGCGAGAGGCGCUUCGGAGCCGGAGGGACGGAUCUGCGGGAGCCAGGGCUGCGGGCCGAGCUGCAGUUGCCGCCGCCGCCACCGCUGUCAGCGCCGCUGUCUGCAGAGUGACAGCCGCAAAGGCAGGGAGCACCGAACCCCGAAACCCGCGCCUUCAAGAAACAAGUGCAUGCGCCCGUCUCCCGGUGAGUGCGCCCCGCUCCCAAGGUAACCAUUCAUUCACGAGCCAGAGGCUGUGAGAAAUGCUUGCUGUGCAAAGGGGAACUCUCACCAGAUUUUCUGAAGCUGUCCUAGAAAUACACUUUUCAGAUUGAUUCAGCAUUAUCAGCUUAUCCAACCAAAGUAUUAACACACACAUUAACAACGUCGAAAGUAGCCUACUUUAAGAGGAAAUAUGCAGAAGAAGAAGAUUUACAUCAAGAUUACCAUGGGUAUUUUCCAAAACACUUGAUAUUGCCUGAAGACAGGACCUGCAUACUCAAACUGUCUCUGGAGAAGCUCCGGUUUCUUGAAGACCCAGAAACCUACUUGAGAAGGUCUGUGCUAAUUAACAAUUUGCUGAGGAAGAUCCACCUGGAGACGGAGAAGGAGAGCUAUGAAUACUUUAAGGAAGCUCCCUGCUAUAAGACUGCUUAUUCUGAUGCAAGAAAACGGCUGAAGUUUAUGGUACAGGAAUGCUGUUCUCAGUCUCUCUAUUACGAAGAGCUGCAUUCGUAUCAUAUCGUGCCUUACGCUUCGGAAAAUGCCAUUUACAGGAUGGGCUACACUAGCAGCCACUUGGAGCAGAAUUCUCAGUUGCUUAUUUAUAAAAUGAAUUAAAAGUGACUGUUCAAGUCCACUGAUACUUUGUUUUCUAAAUGCCUGAACUGUUUGUAGUGACGAUGUGAACGUGAGGCACUUGAGAUCCUACGUGAGAUGCAUGCUAACCUGAUGGGAGAGAACUCUGGUUAUUACUCAGCAGCCCUUGGUGUCACCCAGUCAAAUUGGAAAUAAGUCCACCCAUUAUUAAGAGGCGAGUUAAGUGCUUUAGAAGCACCUCCUCCCCCGAUUUGUUUUAAGGUAAAGUAUAGGGAGAGACUAGGUCGGCAUUUUACACAGAUUUAAACAUUUUAAGCCUGUAUUUCCAAAUUCUGCCAACUCAUGGUGGAAAAUAACAGAUGAAACUGAUUCCAUCUUGUCCCUGAGGAUUAAGGGUGGAACAGAUUUACAGUGAUUUCCUGUAAACGAUGAGGAGAGAGGUAGGUUCUUGCUGAAAAGCUUUGGUGGGUCAAGCAUUGUGCCAAAUAAUUGUUUGACAUCCUUCUCCUUUUAGCAUUCGUGGCAAUUCAAGAUGGGGGAGACUUAGGGUGAUUUAACUGCUGAUGGUAACAACCAGACUCCUCCAACUGGAUCCAUGUUCCAUUUUGCUUUUUGUUUUGUUGGGUCUCUUUUAAAGUGAAACUUCAUAAGAUAGCCUUGUGGAUGGGCUUCUCUCUAAGUUCUGGGGGCCGUUAACAUUUGUGGUGGGUCUUUAGUUGAGAGUUUCAGUUUUAUUUAUGAUGUCUUUUUUUUUAUAGGUUGUGAAGCUCAGGAAAAGAGUAGGCAGGGAAAAUUUGUUUUUAAUAGGUUGAUCAUUAAAAAAAAAUCUUAUCUGAAAAAUUGGGGGGAACAACAGAAAUUCUACAUGAUGUUAUUUCUUUACCUAAGAGUGCAUUUAAGGCUGCCUGGGUGAAACUUUGCACUGACUUUUGUACAAUCGUUGACCAUUCCCUAUUUGACAAGAUGUGUCAGAAUGCCUUUGGGUCUAGUUUAGAUAUGCCCCUGUAUUUUGCAACUUGAAAGCUAAUUAUUUAACAAGUUGGGUAGAUUCCUAAAAUCCUUUGAAGUAGCUCAUUGUUUUCUUUGAGGUUCCAGUGAGACAUCUGAUUUCAAUGUCUUGAAUUAUAUCCUAUGCAGUAUAUCAAUUAAGUAAUUGUCACUAACUGGUGAAGCAGAUUGGGAAAACUAGGUGCCAAAGGUAUAUUCAAGAAAAUACCAAAGACCCAAAGAUGAGUGUUGGCUAGAGUAGGAUGACCAAGAUAAGACUCUUAAAUAAGGAUUAUACAGGACAAAGGAGAACAUUGUGAGAGGGUUUUGGAAAGAUUUGCCUACUGAUGUUCUUUCCGAGCACUUUGCGCAUCCUCAUGAUAAUCAAGGACACUGCUUUAAAUGAAGACAUGACAGGCCUUCCGUGAUCCUAUGUUUUGGCAAACGUAAAUAUGGUGAUUUGUCAGCCUUGUAUCUUGCUUCGUUGAUAAGCCAUCUUAUAACUAGGAAGGCCUUUUUCUCUUCAAGAGAAUUUUGUUUUUAGUUUUGACUCAGACCUUGCUCCCUCUAAUGAAUCAUAGAGGUGAUUAACAUGGAUGCUUUUGGUAUAAAGAAUAUCAGUACUCUAAUCAGCAUGCAUUGUUAGAACAACAUAGCUAUAUAAUUGAUAAAAGUAUCUGGUUUACAUUUAAUUGCUCAAUCAAAACUAGGAAAAAUGCAUUAGAACAAACUGAAAAAUUAUAAUUGAUGUUAAUUUCUAAAGGCAUUUUGGUACAAAUGGUGAGAUAGCUUUGAAAUACAAAUAUAAAUAUUUAAAAAUUUAAUUUAAGGACAAAAACUUGGCCACAAAGUUUUAGAAACUUUAUUUUACGGCAUAUAAAGUACCUUAUUUUCCAGAAUGUGUCUUUUAAAAUGCAGAUUUCUUAAACUUGUGGGGACAUUAUUUGAAUAGACUCAAAAUUUGUUAGGAUAAUACUGCUAUCAUAUAAUUAAAAAUAGAAUUAGCUCUCCAAUAGUUUAAAUUUUUACGGAAAAGAACAUUUGGCCCCAUUUAGGACAGUGUCUACAAGAAAACACACUAGUGCUAAUAGAUGUGACUUACUAAAAUGUCACAUAUUACAAUUGUUUGAGGAGAGAAAUGCACAUACUUUGCAAUAUAAAAGAGCAAGAGA